UGAAGCGACCCAGUAUUUUGUAAGCAGUGGGGUGACAAAGCCUCGCUUUGAAGCCGGCUGGGAUCUGCCCUCUUAGAGCUGUAGCCUAGGACCCUGGGCAAGAAACCAUCCCGUGGGGCCUCAGUUUCUCAUCAGUGAAGUGGGCAUAAUACUUAGCUCACAGGGCUCUUUCAAGGUUAAAAGAGACGAUAUCCUAUCGAGCGCAGGGUAAGUCCGCAAUGCCUUUCCUCCUUUCGUUCUCCUCUGCCCGAAGAUUGCUGACUGCUUUCCAGGCUCCGCGGAGCCUGUCCCAAGUUUCUGCCUCCUCUUCCCGGCCGCCGCCCCUCCCCACCCAAGCGCCGAGCGCUAGUCUCGGGCUGGUUACUUACUGCGAGGCGGGCACAUGCUGAGCGGCGCUGCGGGGGCACCGAACCGAGCGGGCAGCUGGACGCAGACGGGUGCACGCGGCAGGAACCACAAACCCUAGACUCUAUAGAAGGAAACCUUCAUCAGAUUUCUUGAUGAACAAAGUCUAUAGAACCAGGCAAGCUUCCUGCUGAAGAGACAGGACAGUCAUAAUGCUGAGAGAUGGAGAAUUUGAUCGUGUUUUUUUAAGCUGAAGGGAAGGUGCCCAGGAGAGGAAGAGAUUAAUGGUUCAGGAGAAAAAUGGGAUGCCUGAUGGCGCAGAAGUCAUUGGAUCAAACCCACAGUUGGUUUUUUUGUGUGUUUUUUCUUUUUUUGUGUGGACGUGUUUGUUGUUGCAAUGGCUUAAAGCAGAGAUAACAAGUCUAUUACAAAAGAAAGUGCAUGACUAUCAUGGUUUGCAGAUGAUAUGUUUACCGUUCUAAAACAGAGAUUCUCAGCCCUUUUCCACACAUGGCCCUUGAAGAAAAUGACAGUAUCUAUAAGAUAUAUUGGAGUAAGCCAUAGGGGAUUUGCAGGCAAUUAUCUGUGGCUUGGUGAAAAAAUUUUAGUGUGUUUUUAUAUUAUAUAGUUAUGGUAAUAAAAAUAAAACAUAAUGUAUUACAAAAGAUAUUCAAUAUUGAAUUUAUAUAAAACUUCCAUGUAAAAUAUUCUCAGAUUAUUUACCUAGAUACUUAGGUUUACUUCUCUGGAUGUAACUUUAAUAUAAGAUUAUAUGCCUAAAUCUUUAAUAUGAGAUUAAUAUAAGAUUAUAUAAGGGGUCAUCAGCAUUUCUUGGUGUUGACUUUUUAAUGAUCAUCUCUUGCUAGUCAACACGAAUGAGAAACUUUGUUCAUAUAAAUUGCUAAUUUAGAAUAUUUAAUUUAAUUUAAAAAAUUUAUAAUAGUUGCCAGGAAAAUCUAACAGUUUUUUCAUUCUUUUUUCUUUUUUUUUAACAUCUUUAUUGGAGUAUAAUUGCUUUACAAUGGUGUGUUAGUUUCUGCUUUAUAGACAGAUGUGAUAUUGGAAUUUGUGAUGAUGCAAAUAGAUUUUUCAAAACAAUAUAGCUUUUUCAUAUCAUGUACUUCAAAGUAGUGACGAAGCUCUAAUGUGAGGAAAAGACAGGUGUUAUUAGAGCAGUCACCUUGCAAGUAGCUUGAAUGUCACUAAGAGAAUCCAUCAGCACAAAUACGUGGCAGCAUCUCCUGUGUCACGACCAAGAUUCCAAGCUGCCACCUGUGAAGUGCCUGCCCUGAGCCCCCUUGGGCUGUGAUCUGGGCACCAUGGGCACCUGGUACCCAAACCCCUCCAGCAGUUCCAUGGUCCUAGGGCCACAAGGCAGAGAUGUGCUCUGCAGCUGGCACAGAGGGGGCAUCCUGGCUGGAGGGCACCCUUGAGCUUGCUUAACAGGUUGCCGCAAAGCGAGGUGUGCGGGAUGUGGCCGGUUCUGCUCAUUGCUAAUAGUGAUCUCACACAAUCAGAGCUCCUCUGCUUAGGGCUCUCUCUCGAGCCUCCAAGGAGCUUCUUGAAUGUAGGUGAUUAGUUACAAGUGGCCGCACCAGACCCUGCCUGACUGCUGGGCAGUCAGUGUCUUAUAGAGCACCCGAGUCCCCCUCUCGGCACAGCAGUGGACCGCAUGCAGCGUACCAACUGGAAAGCUCCCGUCUGGAAAGCCAAAGGAAGAAAGUAUUGACAUGAAUAAAAGAGUGAGAAGAAUGACUUAAUAUAUGAAAGAUACAUGCAUAUAUGUUAAGAUAAAUAUCUGAAAAUUACCGGAUUUUCUAUUUACUAACUAUAAUGAGUGAGGAAACAUAACAGAAAAAAAGAUUGCACUCCCAAUAGCAACAAAAGAGAUGAAAUACCUAGGAAUACCUUAACAAGAAAUAUGAGAGAUUUAUAUGAAUAAAUGACAAGAUUUUACUACAAAGUAUAAAAGAAGACUUCAGUAAAUAGAACCAUACCGUGUUCUUGGAUGGGAGAACUGAAUAUUAUAAAGAUGUCAAUUUCCUACCAAAUUAAUUUAUAGUUAUAACUCCAAUCAAAAUCCCAAUAGAGUUAUUUCUGGAAUAUGACAAAAUCAUUCUAAAGUGCAGCUAGAGGACAACCAGCAAAAGUAACUCAUACAUUUUUUAAAAUAAAUUUAUUUAUUUUAUUUAUCUAUGUUUGGCUGUGUUUGGCUGUGUUGCUGUGUGUGGGCUUUUCUCUAGUUGCAGCGAGCAGGGACUACUCUUCGUUGCAAUGAGCGUGCUUCUCGUUGCGGUGGCUUCUCUUGUUGGGGAGCGCGGGCUCUAGGUGCGCGGGCUCAGUAGGUGUGGCACGUGGGCAACUAAUACACUUUGAGAAAAAAAAAUGUGGAUGGUGGAGAGGGAUUCGUUUUCCCAGAAAGUAAAAGACAACAGAAAGGAACAAUAAUGUUUUCAGUUUAUUUCUACUGCUAGUAUAGUUUAGGGAAACAGAAUAGAUAGGCCAGAAAUAGCCCAUAGAAUAUAUAUGAUGAUGAUAAAGAUGGUACACAGCACAGGACGGAAGUGGGGGAUUCUCCAAUGAAUGGUCCUAGAUAUUUAUUGGUGGGGGUAGGAGGAAGGAUUGGAGGGAAAGUGUAGCUAAGUGUGUGUUUCUGUGCACGGGUCUUCAACUAGAGUCCCACAUCCCACUUCUCUCCCAAGCCGUCACUUUCUAUUCCCUAGGGUAGGAGGAGGAAAACACCUCACUGAUGAGUUUAGAAGAAAUAGAGUGUGAGUGGCUCAGACCCGAUCUCUCUUGGAUCUGCUGGGCUGCAGAGAAGCUGAGUGCUGUUCUGCCCUCUGCUCUGUGGCCCCUUAUUGAGGAAGUUCCUGUUUCUGCCCUUUGGGGAUUCACUGUGGUCUAGCAGGGCCUGGGUGCAGGUGGCCCAGACAGCUUAAUCCAGGGGUGAGGUGUAUUAACAGACUAUUUUGGCGGUUUAAUCUUAAAUUACAUAUUCUAAUCAGCUUUAUCCAGAAAUAAAGGAGACCACAUCGGCCUGCAUUGUCUUUUUCUCUUAAUUGGUUUCUAACUCAUGAAGGGGAAAGGAUAUUAUUUGUUGGUCCAGUUAAAACUCCAAAACUGGACCAAGUGGUUGGCUAGUUGGGGAAAAAAUUUAUAUCAUAAUGCAUGCCAGUAUAUGAAGAAUAACUUUUAUAAAUGUCAAACUAUUAAAAAUUAAAACUGGAAGACAAUUUCAAAUUUCUGGAUCAGAGAAGACUCUCCAAGGUUAGAAACAAAUGCAAAGACCCCAAAGGCAAAGAUACAUAGCUCUAACAAGAUUUAAAAACAGUGUGUACAUAUAAAGAAGCAAAAGAGAACAAAAAGAAUAAAACGACAAUUAUCAAGCUGGAAAAUUAUUUCUAGUAAACAUUACACAAAAUUACUGCCAUAAAUUUCUCAAGUAAACAGAUAAAAUGACCAAGAACAUGAAUACCUCAACAGAUGAAUGGGGAAAAUAUUUAAUAGACAAUUCACAAAAAGAAAAGUACAUAUAGUUAAUGAAUAUGUGAAAAAUGUCAUAUUCACAAAUGUCCAAAGAGAUGCAGUUAAAAUGAAACAUUCUUUGUCUAUCCAGUUGGAAAAAAAUGAUAAAACAAGAAUGCUAGUACUGGUGAGGGUAUAAUGAAAUGAUCACCGUGACUGGUAGGAACAUAAAUCAGUACCAUUUUUCUGAAAAGAAAUUUGGCAACAUUUAUCAUGAGUCUUAAAAUGCUUAUACCUUUUGACUCCAAUAAAUCUAGGAAUCUACCAUAAGGAAUUUGCAGAAAUGCAAAAUAAAGAUUUAUGUGCCUAGGUUUUUAUGAUAAAAUAAAUGGAAUAAUAUGUGUAUGUCCAACACUAGUAAAGGCAAGUACAUUAUCAUAUAUUAGAAUAUGACAUGGCCAUCAAAAUUAAGCUACAAAAAGCUUUAAAAUCAUCUAAGAACAUUAAAAAAAUCAACAACAACAAACUUAUAACCCUCUCUGUUAAAACAAAAUGAUCUAAGGCAGCUUGUGAGUAGAUUUAAAGUUCAGCAAGAUUGCCUAGGUUAGAAGUAGGUGAGGGAAAGAGGCCAACAAGAAUAGAGAAAAAAUAAGAGCUGGAAAGAACCUGUUACAAAAAUGAAAACAAUUGCUCAAGCCUGAACAUUGGCUAUGGUUGGGCCACAAGUCUGACUCUUUGCAAAUUCGAAAAGGAAAGAUGUCUUAGAACAUCACAGUGUGGAAUUUGCUAGGGAAGCAACGUGAGAUACAUACAAAGAUUGUUAGGCACGAUUAAAGGCACAUAUGAGGUUCAGCAAUAUGAUUUUUGUGGUGGAUCCACUUGGCAGACAUCUGUGAUUUUCUCCAGCAGCUCUCAGCAGCCUGAAAAUAGCAGAAGCCACAGCAUGAGAGGCUGAGAAAAUGGGUGUUGGGUAAAUUCAAGUUUGGAAGUCGACACAAUCAAGGUGGGAGAAAACCAGGGUGGUAAAAGUAUCUAGGGUGCUGGUUUGAGGAAUCAUUUAUUCUCUCAGCAAGACUUAUACUUUUUGACACAUACUGUGUACCAGGCACUGUCCUAGUUAUUCUUGGAUACAUCAGUGAACAAUAACUAAGAUCCCUAAAUGUGAGAGUGGGGUGGGGAGGGGCCACAGCAUAAGGAAUAAUCACAAUAAUGUGUGUAAUGAGGAGCAAAAGAAAUGAUUGUGCAGGGUGGAGGGAAUUGGGAGUGUGGACCAGGAGUGGGUGAGGAUGUGUGGCUGGGCAGUGAGACUUCAAGGAAGUGAGUCAGGAAAUACCUGGACCACCGGGAUCUAGAACGGGCAGUGAAGGAGGAGAGGUGACGCAAGGACCUGGGUCUUAGAUGGGGAGAGUGAGAGGGUCUGGGCACAGUUCGUGCGGGAAAGAAAGAGCAAUCAGGAAGCUGUCCCAAGAGUGGGGAAUUCCUGAGCUUGGAAACUUAGAGAUUCACAACUUUUAUCUUAAACUCACUCCCUUUCCUCACAGAAUUAUUUUAAGAUUUUCCAGUUACACAUGUCCCCAGAGGUGCAGCCUUUUCCCUGCCUUGAUUUCAGAGCAAGUGCUGUGUGGGCAGAGUGAAAAUUAGGAUUUUAUAGGAGAAAACGCCUUGAUAAAAAAAUUUUUAAAAGGACUGAGUGACUCACACCUUCCAAAGUGCCUUCUUUAGAGGUUUCAAAAUAAAGGUAGGAUUGUAGGGCACACAAUUGUACAAACAAGCUGAUCACAACUUUGUCAGAUAACAGCACAGUCCAAAAUCAUAUGCAUAGAAAGAAAAGAAAAGGAGGAUGGAAGAAAACACCAAAAUAUCCACUGUGGCUGGCUGUCUUUGGGGUGGGACUACCUAAGCUCUUUUCUUCCUUUGUUUCUUCUUGUUUUACUUUUAUAAUGGUUGAAGAAUCUUUUACUUAAACAUAGGCUAGGUUUUUUCCCCUCAGUUUUAAAUAUAGACCUGCUAGAAAGGAAGAGAAUGCAAUGGACAAAGGAUACAAGAGAUAAUUAACCUAGGAAAUAAAGAUAGUAAAGGUAGUAUGAAAAGAUAGGCUACAUCACUAGGAACCACAGAAAUGAAAAUUGAGCCUUUUAAAAUUUAUUUAUUUUUUUGCUCAUUACAUUGGCAAAUAAAAAAAAGAUUCAUCAGGUGGAACUGGAAAAAAACGGAGGCAAAGAAAUCAUCAAGGAAAUGGUUCAACAAAAUUUCCUAGAACUAAAGGAAAUAAAGCUGAGUGACCAUCAACAUAGAUGAAAAUAGACUCAAGUCAACACAUAGUCUCAAGACAUUUCACAGCACAGAGGACACGGGUAAGAUCUUACAAGUUUCUACAGGGGAAAGAAAACAGCCUGUGCAAAAGAGAGUCAUGAAUCAGAAUAGUUCUGGAUUUUUCAACAGCAAAACUGGGAACUAAAAGAAAGUAGAGAAAUGUCCUCAAAAAUAUCAGAAGCAAAAUGAUUUCCAGCCUGUAAUUUUAUACCCACCAAACUAUCAAUCAAAUGAAGAUAAGACAGAGACAUUGUCAAGAUCUCAUAAAUUUACCUCUGAUCCACUCCUUUUUAGGGAGGUGACUGGAGGGUGUGCACCACAGAAACUAAGGAGUAAACCAAGAAAGAAAACUGCUGAAAGAAGAGACAGGGAAAGAGAACAUCUAGGUUGAUGUUAAAGAAAGACCCCCAAAUGGCAGCCAGCCCAGAUCAGAACAAGUCAGAAGUUUCCGAAAGAAAAUUCCUCAGGAAUAUGAUCUGAUAGAUAGCCAAUGUCUCCAAACAUCUUGAGAGGAAUUUAGAGGAUUAAUGGAGAAUUUGCAGUCAAAUUGCUAGGAAGUACAUUGAAAAAUAAGCAAAUAAAAAUAGGUAAUUGUUAAUUUUAGGGGAUACACAAAGUUGUAGAGGAAAGGGAAUAUAAAUCAUAGUACAACUUCUGACUCAGUUUGAAUAAAGUCCAAAUAGUCAUCAGAAUGUAAACACUGACUAUCUCUCUAAUCAGAGUUGUGAUGUGACUCUGAUGGGAGGAUGGGGGACUAGGAAGGGGCAUUAUAUGGUGCGGAGAAGAAAGCUAAAUCCUUUUCUUUCAUAGAAAAAAGUUUAAAAAAGGAUGCAUAGGGCUUCCCUGGUGGCGCAGUGGUUGGGAGUCCGCCUGCCGAUGCAGGGGACGCGGGUUCGUGCCCCGGUCCGGGAGGAUCCCGCGUGCCGCGGAGCAGCUGGGCCUGUUGGCCGUGGCCGCUGGGCCUGCGCGUCCGGAGCCUGUGCUCUGCAGCGGGAGGGGCCACAGCAGUGAGAGGCUCGCGUGCCGCAAAAAAA